rnacentral:rRNA from 1 species
GAUGAACGCUGGCGGCGUGCCUAAUACAUGCAAGUCGAGCGAACAGACGAGGAGCUUGCUCCUCUGACGUUAGCGGCGGACGGGUGGGUAACACGUGGAUAACCUACCUAUAAGACUGGGAUAACUUCGGGAAACCGGAGCUAAUACCGGAUAAUAUAUUGAACCGCAUGGUUCAAUAGUGAAAGACGGUUUUGCUGUCACUUAUAGAUGGAUCCGCGCCGCAUUAGCUAGUUGGUAAGGUAACGGCUUACCAAGGCAACGAUGCGUAGCCGACCUGAGAGGGUGAUCGGCCACACUGGAACUGAGACACGGUCCAGACUCCUACGGGAGGCAGCAGUAGGGAAUCUUCCGCAAAGGGCGAAAGCUUGACGGAGCAACGCCGCGUGAGUGAUGAAGGUCUUCGGAUCGUAAAACUCUGUUAUUAGGGAAGAACAAAUGUGUAAGUAACUAUGCACGUCUUGACGGUACCUAAUCAGAAAGCCACGGCUAACUACGUG